UACGGAGGGUGCAAGCGUUGUUCGGAAUUACUGGGCGUAAAGCGCACGCAGGCGGCGUGACAAGUCGAACGUGAAAUCCCUGGGCUCAACCCAGGAACUGCGCUCGAAACUGUCAUGCUUGAGUCCGGGAGAGGAUGGUGGAAUUCCUGGUGUAGAGGUGAAAUUCGUUGAUAUCAGGAGGAACACCGGCGGCGAAGGCGGCCAUCUGGCCCGGAACUGACGCUCAUGUGCGAAAGCGUGGGGAGCAAACAGG
rnacentral:rRNA from 1 species